UACGGAGGGUGCAAGCGUUAAUCGGAAUUACUGGGCGUAAAGCGCACGCAGGUGGCUGAGUCAGUCGAUUGUGAAAGCCCUGGGCUUAACCUGGGAAUUGCAGUCGAUACUACUCAGCUAGAGUAUGGGAGAGGGUAGUGGAAUUCCGGUGUAGCGGUGAAAUGACGUAGAUAUCGGGAGGAACAUCAGUGGCGAAGGCGGCUACCUGGCCCAAUACU
rnacentral:rRNA from 1 species